GAUGAACGCUGGCGGCGUGCCUAAUACAUGCAAGUCGAGCGAACGGACGAGAAGCUUGCUUCUCUGAUGUUAGCGGCGGACGGGUGAGUAACACGUGGAUAACCUACCUAUAAGACUGGGAUAACUUCGGGAAACCGGAGCUAAUACCGGAUGAUAUUUUGAACCGCAUGGUUCAAAAGUGAAAGACGGUCUUGCUGUCACUUAUAGAUGGAUCCGCGCUGCAUUAGCUAGUUGGUAAGGUAACGGCUUACCAAGGCAACGAUGCAUAGCCGACCUGAGAGGGUGAUCGGCCACACUGGAACUGAGACACGGUCCAGACCCCUACGGGAGGCAGCAGUAGGGAAUCUUCCGCAAUGGGCGAAAGCCUGACGGAGCAACGCCGCGUGAGUGAUGAAGGUCUUCGGAUCGUAAAACUCUGUUAUUAGGGAAGAACAUAUGUGUAAGUAACUGUGCACAUCUUGACGGUACCUAAGCAGAAAGCCACGGCUAACUACGU
rnacentral:rRNA from 1 species